UACUUCCGGUUCAGGUCAUUGUAUUUUCGUCACGAGUUUGUUUUGGUCCUGAAGUUGAAGCCUAUGCUGUAUCAGGCGUAACGGUACAAAUCAGGCCAGCAUACCGGCGUAGAUAUCGUCGUAAAGCAUCUUUGAGGAUAUGUUCAUUGCCCAUUUGUUCAGAGCCAUGGGGGUGAAAAAUUUGCUUUAACAAACAUUAAUUAAACCAUGAAUCGAUUGCCACCUACCAGUGUCACAAUGGCAUCUGAAUCAAAGGUCAGUGAAAAGAGGGAAAUUAUUCAUGCGUCUGAAUCCUCCACAGCCACUGUUAAAAUAAGUGGAGGCAGAAUAACCAAAUUUUCUGGAUUCGAAUCAGAUUCUGAAGAAGAGGAACAAAUAAACCAUAUUGAUGCUGAUAGCCCAAUACGAAAUGUGACCUUGACCUCAAAAGACAAGAUAGAUGAUCAUGAUGAUCAUUUACAAACCAUGGACAUUCCAAGCUCCAGAGUUUAUCGGAAACGUAGCGAAGCUUUCAGCGAAAGUUUACCUGAUUUUGUAAGCGUUCAAGGACGAAUGGGGUCAAGGUUUGGUUCUAGGUCAUCUGAAGGUGAAACGCCGAAAAGACAUGUUCAUGAAAAUCAGGACAGAACAUCUGAAUCUAGUUCCAGUAGCUCUCCUCAAAAAGACGGCUCAUUUCCCCGUGAGAGGUUUAAUCCCUUCAAUAAAGACAUUCAUAUUGAUGAUGAUCAUUUCUCUGAUUCCGCACCAAACUAUUUUCAUCGACAAGGAACACAAUCAUCGGAUAGCAACAAGUCAGGGUCAGGAGCUAGUGACACAUGGACGGACAUCGGAGGAGGGGUGAUGUCGGGGACGUCCGACACCGACGACGUCACAUACGCUGAUCUUGGCCUUGCAGAGGACCACUUCUCUCAACCUGAGGGCCACUUUGGUUUAAGCAGCAGUGAGGAGCUGGACCUGGCUAUAGAGAACUGUGUGGAACUCAUCAGGUUGGCGCCGCACAACUCUGACAAACAGAAGAACCUCAUCCGGAAACUGGUGCAGCUGAGGAUGAAGAAACAAGAACUGAAAGAGGGUUCAGAGCCUGUCUCCCCGGAUGUGAAGGUUGUGGUCGGACACAAGUUCCGAGAGAAGACAAGUCGGAGCUCCAAACACUACUGUGAGAAGUGUAACGCCGUCAUCUGGGGAAUGGUCCAGGCAUGGUAUAAAUGUAUAGACUGCGGCUACAGCUGCCAUGCCAAGUGCCUCAUCCUCAUCACCAGGACAUGUGCAAAACAGCGGGUGCUGGAGAACCCGUCCUACUGUCUGUCCAUCUGCCCCCAGAAGGGCCUGGCCUCACAGAACUACCGAUGUGCCGAGUGCAAGUCUUCCUUGUCAUUCAAGUCAGGAGCUGCGGAGCCUCGGCUGUGUGAUUACAGCGGCAACUACUACUGCGAGCUGUGUCACUGGAACGACCAGAUGACCAUACCAGGCCGGGUGCUUCACAACUGGGACUUCCUGCCUCGUAAGGUGUGUCGGGCGUCCAAGCAGUACCUGAAGCUGAUGGCCAGCAAGGCUGCGAUCCGCAUCCAGGACAUCAACCCAAUGCUGUUCAACUUCGUGGAGGAACUCAGUGAAAUCAAGAAGCUGCGAGAGGAGAUGCUGGUGAUGAAGAAGUACAUCCUGCUGUGUCCCAGCGCCAUGAAGUCCAAGCUGCUGCUGCUUGUGCAGACUCGGCAGCACUUCGUAGAGAGCUCCGACAUCUACAGCAUGAAGGACCUGAUGGACAUCCAGACAGACACGCUGCUGUCGGAACUAGCCCAGGUCCACUCGGCAUGGGCACAGCACAUCAAGACAGACUGUGAGGUAAGACCUGUGGACAGACAGACAGACAGACAGACAGACAGGCUGCUGUUGGAACUAGCCCAGGUCCACAUGGCAUGGGCACAGCACAUCAAGACAGACUUUGAGGUAAGACCUGUGGACAGACAGACAGACAGACAGACAGACAGACACGCUGCUGUCAGAACUAGCCCAGGUCCACAUGGCAUGGGCACAGCACAUCAAGACAGACUGUGGGGUAAGACCUGUGGACAGACAGACAGACAGACAGACAUGCUGCUGUCGGAACUAGCCCAGGUCCACUCGGCAUGGGCACAGCACAGCACAUCAAGACAGACUGUGAGCUGUGCCAGGCUCGAGGCUUCUUCUGUGAGAUGUGCGAGGAAAAGGAGGUGCUGUUUCCGUUCGAUAACAUCGCCGUGGUCUGUUCCCAGUGCUCCAAUGUCAUACACAGGCACUGUUUUGACAAACAAGGUCAAUGUCCACGAUGUCAGAGGAGAGACAGACGGAAGGUCAACUGACCUCAUCCAGUGACCUUUGACCUGUCUUUUUUGAGGAAAUCAACAGUAACAUGAACACAAGGUGAGCUGACCUCAUCCAGUGUCCACUGACCGGUCAAUGUCCACGAUGUCAGCGUGACAGACGGGAGUUCAACUGACCUCAUCCAGUGUCCACUGACCGGUCAAUGUCCACGAUGUCAGAGGAGAGACAGAAGGAAGGUCAACUGACCUCAUCCAGUGUCCACUGACCGGUCAAUGUCCACGAUGUCAGCGGAGAGACAGACAGAAGGUCAACUGACCUCAUCCAGUGACCAUUGACCGGUCAAUGUCCACGAUGUCAGCGGAGAGACAGACAGAAGGUCAACUGACCUCAUCCAGUGACCAUUGACCGGUCAAUGUCCACUAUGUCAGCGGAGAGACAGACAGAAGGUCAACUGACCUCAUCCAGUGUCCACUGACCGGUCAAUGUCCACGAUGUCAGCGGAGAGACAGACAGAAGGUCAACUGACCUCAUCCAGUGUCCACUGACCGGUCGAUGUCCAC
rnacentral:misc_RNA from 1 species